CCCUUAGAUGUUCUGGGCCGCACGCGCGCUACACUGAUGCAUUCAACGAGCCUAUCCUUGACCGACAGGUCCGGGUAAUCUUUGAAUCUGCAUCGUGACGGGGAUAGAUUAUUGCAAUUAUUAAUCUUCAACGAGGAAUGCCUAGUAGGCGCAAGUCAUCAGCUUGCGUCGAUUACGUCCCUGCCCUUUGUACACACCGCCCGUCGCUCCUACCGAUUGGGUGUGCUGGUGAAAUGUUCGGAUCGGCCGUUUGUCGCGGUGUCCGCGUCAUGUGGCUGAGAAGUUCAUUAAACCCUCCCACCUAGAGGAAGGAGAAGUCGUAACA
rnacentral:rRNA from 1 species